rnacentral:rRNA from 1 species
AGUGAACGCUGGCGGUAGGCCUAACACAUGCAAGUCGAACGGCAGCACAGUAAGAGCUUGCUCUUACGGGUGGCGAGUGGCGGACGGGUGAGGAAUACAUCGGAAUCUACUUUUUCGUGGGGGAUAACGUAGGGAAACUUACGCUAAUACCGCAUACGACCUACGGGUGAAAGCAGGGGAUCUUCGGACCUUGCGCGAUUGAAUGAGCCGAUGUCGGAUUAGCUAGUUGGCGGGGUAAAGGCCCACCAAGGCGACGAUCCGUAGCUGGUCUGAGGGGAUGAUCAGCCACACUGGAACUGAGACACGGUCCAGACUCCUACGGGAGGCAGCAGUGGGGAAUAUUGGACAAUGGGCGCAAGACUGAUCCAGCCAUACCGCGUGGGUGAAGAAGGCCUUCGGGUUGUAAAGCCCUUUUGUUGGGAAAGAAAAGCAGCAGGUUAAUACCCCGCUGUUCUGACGGUACCCAAAGAAUAAGCACCGGCUAACUUCGUG